rnacentral:lncRNA from 1 species
ACAAAUGUUUUAAAUGCUACACUCAUGAACUUAUCACCCAUCAACUUUGUCUUGCUCCCUAUGCUUAAUGAUAGAGAAGAAUAAAUAUACUUUUGGUUCUGUUGGUGUUUUCUACCAACAGGACCCAUGCACGUGAUCUCUGCCUUGUCUCUAUGAGCAGGACACAUUUUGAGAAACAUGGAGGAUUUUUCAACUCCCACACUCUACCAAGUGAAGGACGU